rnacentral:rRNA from 1 species
UACAGAGGUCUCAAGCGUUGUUCGGAUUCAUUGGGCGUAAAGGGUGCGUAGGCGGCGCGGUAAGUCGGGUGUGAAAUCUCGGAGCUUAACUCCGAAACUGCAUUCGAUACUGCCGUGCUUGAGGACUGGAGAGGAGACUGGAAUUUACGGUGUAGCGGUGAAAUGCGUAGAUAUGUGGAGGAACACCAGUGGCGAAGGCGACUUUCUGGUCUGUAACUGACGCUGAGGCGCGAAAGCGUGGGGAGCAAACAGG